rnacentral:rRNA from 1 species
CAGUCGCCGCGGUAAUACAGAGGGUGCGAGCGUUAAUCGGAUUUACUGGGCGUAAAGCGUGCGUAGGCGGCUUCUUAAGUCGGAUGUGAAAUCCCUGAGCUUAACUUAGGAAUUGCAUUCGAUACUGGGAAGCUAGAGUAUGGGAGAGGAUGGUAGAAUCCCAGGUGUAGCGGUGAAAUGCGUAGAGAUCUGGAGGAAUACCGAUGGCGAAGGCAGCCAUCUGGCCUAAUACUGACGCUGAGGUACGAAAGCAUGGGGAGCAAACAGGAUUAGAUACCCCUGUAGUCCCUGUCUCUUAUAA